rnacentral:rRNA from 1 species
UACGUAGGUGGCAAGCGUUGUCCGGAAUUAUUGGGCGUAAAGCGCGCGCAGGCGGUCCUUUAAGUCUGAUGUGAAAGCCCGGGGCUCACCCCCGGAAGGGCAUUGGAAACUGGCGGACUCGAGUCCCGGAGAGGAAGGUGGAAUUCCUGGUGUAGCGGUGAAAUGCGUAGAUAUCAGGAGGAAUACCGGUGGCGAAGGCGGCCUUCUGGACGGUGACUGACGCUGAGACGCGAAAGCGUGGGGAGCAAACAGG